rnacentral:rRNA from 1 species
AUACAUGCAGUAGACGCUGAGCUUGGUGCUUGCACCGAGCGGAUGAGUUGCGAACGGGUGAGUAACGCGUAGGUAACCUGCCUCUUAGCGGGGGAUAACUAUUGGAAACGAUAGCUAAUACCGCAUAAAAGUCGACAUUGCAUAAUGUUGACUUGAAAGGUGCAACUGCAUCACUAAGAGAUGGACCUGCGUUGUAUUAGCUAGUUGGUGAGGUAACGGCUCACCAAGGCGACGAUACAUAGCCGACCUGAGAGGGUGAUCGGCCACACUGGGACUGAGACACGGCCCAGACUCCUACGGGAGGCAGCAGUAGGGAAUCUUCGGCAAUGGACGGAAGUCUGACCGAGCAACGCCGCGUGAGUGAAGAAGGUUUUCGGAUCGUAAAGCUCUGUUGUAAGAGAAGAACGAGUGUGAGAGUGGAAAGUUCACACUGUGACGGUAACUUACCAGAAAGGGACGGCUAACUACGUGCCAGCAGCCGCGGUAAUACGUAGGUCCCGAGCGUUAUCCGGAUUUAUUGGGCGUAAAGCGAGCGCAGGCGGUUAGAUAAGUCUGAAGUUAAAGGCUGUGGCUUAACCAUAGUACGCUUUGGAAACUGUUUAACUUGAGUGCAGAAGGGGAGAGUGGAAUUCCAUGUGUAGCGGUGAAAUGCGUAGAUAUAUGGAGGAACACCGGUGGCGAAAGCGGCUCUCUGGUCUGUAACUGACGCUGAGGCUCGAAAGCGUGGGGAGCAAACAGGAUUAGAUAC